GAUGAACGCUGGCGGCGUGCCUAAUACAUGCCAGUCGAGCGAACGGACGAGAAGCUUGCUUCUCUGAUGUUAGCGGCGGACGGGUGAGUAACACGUGGAUAACCUACCUAUAAGACUGGGAUAACUUCGGGAAACCGUAGCUAAUACCGGAUAAUAUUUUGAACCGCAUGGUUCAAAAGUGAAAGACGGUCUUGCUGUCACUUAUAGAUGGAUCCGCGCUGCAUUAGCUAGUUGGUAAGGUAACGGCUUACCAAGGCAACGAUGCAUAGCCGACCUGAGAGGGUGAUCGGCCACACUCGAACUGAGACACGGUCCAGACUCCUACGGGAGGCAGCAGUAGGGAAUCUUCCGCAAUGGGCGAAAGCCUGACGGAGCAACGCCGCGUGAGUGAUGAAGGUCUUCGGAUCGUAAAAUUCUGUUAUUAGGGAAGAACAUAUGUGUAAGUAACUGUGCACAUCUUGACGGUACCUAAUCAGAAAGCCACGGCUAACUACGUG
rnacentral:rRNA from 1 species